rnacentral:sRNA from 1 species
UGGACGAAGUUCACAUUUUGUGCCUUGC